UAUCUCUUCGUUCAACCUGGUAGGACCUUGGAUUUUCGUUCCAAAGAUGUGGGUUCAAAUCCCACAGGGAGUA
rnacentral:tRNA from 1 species